rnacentral:rRNA from 1 species
GACGAACGCUGGCGGCGUGCUUAACACAUGCAAGUCGAACGGAAAGGCCCUGCUUUUGUGGGGUGCUCGAGUGGCGAACGGGUGAGUAACACGUGAGUAACCUGCCCUUGACUUUGGGAUAACUUCAGGAAACUGGGGCUAAUACCGGAUAGGAGCUCCUGCUGCAUGGUGGGGGUUGGAAAGUUUCGGCGGUUGGGGAUGGACUCGCGGCUUAUCAGCUUGUUGGUGGGGUAGUGGCUUACCAAGGCUUUGACGGGUAGCCGGCCUGAGAGGGUGACCGGCCACAUUGGGACUGAGAUACGGCCCAGACUCCUACGGGAGGGAGCAGGGGGGAAUAUUGCAAAAUGGGCGGGAGCCUGUUGCAGCACCGCCGCGUGCGGGAGGACGGCUUUCGGGUUGUAUACCGUUUUCGCCUGUGACAAGGCGUGAGUGACGGUAAUGGGUGAAGAAGCACCGGCUAAAUACGUG